ACAUUCUGAAAUUAUUUGAUGAUAUACUUUGCCUGAAGGGUUUCUUUUGAGUAAAUGCAAAUUGCCCUUUCAAGAAUCUACGUCUCCAAACGUCCAACAGAAAUUCCAGAUAGAGAUUUAUGUUGGUGUUUUGUUUUCCAUGAUGGCGAUCGAUGACCCAGUUUUUUCGAGGUUCGCGUGAAAAUUAAAUCGUGCAAAGCUACCGUAAAUGCAAUUUGUUUGCUGCGUGAUGGUGCCGUGGUUGUUGUGAAAACCUGUGGAAUUAUAAUCGUUUGAGGUGAAAGGAACGUGUAAAAUAAGCUUAAUCUGUAGAUAUGAUGCAGAACAUGAGUAUCUCGGAUAUGUCAAGUACUAUGGAUAGGAAAAGGAAACUGAGUUUUAUUGAUUCUGGAGGGGAGGAUAUGAGUGAUGAAGAUCUAUCAAGUGAAAGAAAUACAUCAGGAGACGACAGCAAAAAGCUCUCAAAACAGAAUCACAGUGAGAUCGAGAAAAGGAGACGAGAGAAGAUGAACACGUACAUACAAGAACUGAGCGCUAUGGUCCCCACCUGCAGCUCCAUGUCGUCCAAGUUGGAUAAACUUACCAUACUACGCAUGGCUGUACAGCAUAUGAAGACUUUAAGAGGUGCUUCAAGUUCUCGUAAAGAAGCAAAUUAUAAGCCGUCUUUUCUCUCAGAAGAUGACCUCAAUCCUCUCAUUCUAGAGGCUGCCGAAGGAUUUCUUUUUGUCGUGAGCUGUGACCGUGGCCGGGUUCUCUACGUGUCGGAAUCGGUGCUCAACGUCCUCAAUAUUACCUGGGAACGUUUGAUUGGUCAGAGUUUAUUUGAUAUCCUCCAUCCCAAAGACGUCCCCAAGGUCAAAGAGCAACUCUCAUCAUCCGACCUUUCACCCCGAGAACGUUUCAUCGACACCAAGACUGGUAUGUUGGUAAAAUCAGAGAUGACGAUGUCGCCGCCUCAGUUAUCAUCAGGAGCUCGACGGUCGUUCUUUUGUAGGAUGAGGAUAUACAGCCCCGAGCAUGCGGUCAAGACUGAAGAUGGUCAACAGUGGAAGCGACUGAAACAACCAGCAGAUCGCAAGAAGUAUGCAACGAUACACUGUACAGGUUACUUGAAGAGUUGGCCACCAGCGAAGGUCGGGUUGGACAAAGACGAGAUGGAAGUCGACAUCGAUGGUUGCAAUCUUAGCUGUCUUGUCGCUGUAGCCAGAGUACAGACUAUCCAGAGCCCAAUCCCAUCCCCCAACAAUAACAUUCAACUCAAACCUAUUGAAUUUGUAUCCAGGCAUGCGAUGGAUGGUAAAUACACAUUCGUAGAUCAAAGAGCUACUGCCGUAAUGGGCUACCUUCCUCAGGAGUUGUUAGGUACUUCAUGUUACGAGUAUUAUCACAUAGACGAUAUAUCUAUAAUGGCAGAGUAUCAUAAAACAGUACUGUCGAGUCGAGAGAAGAUCUUAACAAGUUCUUAUCGCUUCAGAGCAAAGAAUGGCGAGUUUAUUCUUCUACGAUCACGAAUGUUCACCUUCCGGAAUCCUUGGACGAAGGAAAUAGAAUACGUGGUCUCUACCAAUACAUUAGUUAACAAAGAUGAGGCCAUCCCAUCUAACAGCAAUGAAUGUGGUCCAACAACCAAAGAUCAGGAAUCAUCUCAGCUCCAAUCCCUGAUCACCAACCUGAGUAAGUCAGCGGCUAUACCGGGUGUGUCCACCAACAACACUCACAUGGGAGCAGGGAAGAUAGGCUGGAAGAUCGCAGAAGAGGUCAUGGAAGCAGAAAGAAUGAAUGAAGUUUCAUCGAGUGGCUGGGAGUCUAAGGAUGCUAGUCCUGUUGUGGUCGAUUCCCAAGGCAUCACUGGAGAUGCUGUAUCAUCCAUGGGUUCUGAAACCAACAAGGUGUCGUCCAGGGAGGUCCGGAAAAGCAGCGGCAACAUCCCUGGUGACCCUAAACCAGAGAAGAUGCCCACCACGGUCAAGACUGGUCAGUCCUUCCUCAACAAUAGUUCAGUAGUAUGCGGUGACCAGACAAACAACUCUGGGAACCUACCGCAGAAUCCCUUUGCGGAGGUGUCCUCGGCCGCAGGAUUGUCAACGGCAGCUCUUGCUGCGGAACUCAGUACACCCGGUGCUGCUGCAGCCGCAGCGGCAAAGGUGAAGGAGAUGGGUGGGGACGAUGAAGCUGCCAUGGCGUUUAUUAUGAGCUUACUAGAGGCUGAUGCCGGUUUGGGUGGGUCGGUAGACUUUAACGAUCUUCCGUGGCCUCUAUGAUGGGAUGGAGACAUCCUGUCCGUACAAACUUGCCUUGAACUGUACCUUGUCAUAUCUUGGGGUGAUCUGCUUUUAGGAGGCUAAAGGUCAGCUUGAGCGGUAGUCACUAAGUGAACAUUGGGGAAGAGUCUUUAUGAAGUUACAUCAGGAAUGAAAUUUCAUCAGGAAAAAUUCAUAGAGAAGUUUUAUCAGGAAAGAGUCUUAAAGUAAGACUUCCUGGCAGAGGACUCCAGGGAAACCACUACAAGGUACAGUGUUAAGAAGAUUUAUCAGGAAAGAGUAAAUGUGAAGAUUUAUCAGGAAUGAGUCUUCAUGAAGAGUCUUCAUAAAAGAGUCUUCAUGGAAUAGCCUUCUAAUGUCAUCAGGAAAAAUUCCUUAAUGAAAUUUCCUUGGGAAAGGGUCUUCAUGCAGAUCGUGCCUUCUGACCUGCCUCACCCGCAUCCUUUGAGUCAAGGUCCAUCUGCCCCAUCCGCAUCCUUUGAGUCAAGGUCCAUCUGCCUCGCCCUCAUCCUUUGAGUCAAGGUCCAUCUGCCUCACCUGCAUCCUUUGAGUCAAGGUCCAUCUGCUUCACCCGCAUCCUUUGAGUCAAGGUCCAUCUGCCCCUUCUUGAUGGCUGUGCCACCAACCAUCUCCUAUCGUCUGCAGAUCAACCUUCGGCCAAGCAUGGCAAUCCCAAACAUGUCUCUACUGAAGGAAUUAUAUAACCACCCCAUUCCAAGUAAUUAAUCUAUUCUAAAGACCAUUGAUGUCAAUAUCCAUUCUUAAGUAAUGGCUUUGAUGGAGAUGUUUUUUCAAACUGAACUAAAUGAAAGUCACUGUUGUUGUUCGUCUUCAUGUUGUGUGUCAAAGAAAUUAAUUACCAAAAGGGCAUAGGUGCUCAGCCAGUGUGA
rnacentral:misc_RNA from 1 species